GACGAACGCUGGCGGCGCGCUUAAUACAUGCAAGUCGAACGAGAAUCAUUGGUGCUUGCACCAAUGAAGACAGUGGCGAACGGGUGAGUAACACGUGAGAAACCUGCCCCAAAGACUGGGAUAAGCCGAGGAAACUUGGUCUAAUACCGGAUACCUUCUAACUAUCACAUGUUAGAUAGAAGAAAUGCUCCGGCGCUUUGGGAUGGUCUCGCGACCUAUCAGCUUGUUGGUGAGGUAAAAGCUCACCAAGGCAACGACGGGUAGCUGGUCUGGGAGGAAGGCCAGCCACACUGGAGCUGAGACACGGUCCAGACUCCUACGGGAGGCAGCAGUAGGGAAUCGUGCACAAUGAGGGAAACCUUGAUGCAGCGACGCCGCGUGCGGGAAGAAGGCCCUAGGGUUGUAAACCGCUUUCAGCAGGGACGAAAGUGACGGUACCUGCAGAAGAAGCCCCGGCCAAAUAUGUGCCAGCCGCCGCGGUAA
rnacentral:rRNA from 1 species